rnacentral:rRNA from 1 species
AUUGAACGCUGGCGGCAGGCUUAACACAUGCAAGUCGAGCGGAGAUGAGGUGCUUGCACCUUAUCUUAGCGGCGGACGGGCGAGUAAUGCUUAGGAAUCUGCCUAUUAGUGGGGGACAACAUUCCGAAAGGAAUGCUAAUACCGCAUACGUCCUACGGGAGAAAGCAGGGGAUCUUCGGACCUUGCGCUAAUAGAUGAGCCUAAGUCGGAUUAGCUAGUUGGUGGGGUAAAGGCCUACCAAGGCGACGAUCUGUAGCGGGUCUGAGAGGAUGAUCCGCCACACGGGGACUGAGACACGGCCCAGACUCCUACGGGAGGCAGCAGUGGGGAAUAUUGGACAAUGGGGGAAACCCUGAUCCAGCCAUGCCGCGUGUGUGAAGAAGGCCUUAUGGUUGUAAAGCACUUUAAGCGAGGAGGAGGCUACUGAGACUAAUACUCUUGGAUAGUGGACGUUACUCGCAGAAUAAGCACCGGCUAACUCUGUGCCAGCAGCCGCCGUAA